AUCUGCAUGUACCUCUAUGUCAGCUGCAGUCAAGGUGUUGAGCGGACAGUCAAAGGAGAGCCCAGAGUGGGAUGUGUCACAGCCACUGGAAACCCUCUGCCAGGUGGCACGUUUCUGCCAGGGCAGUGUGCAAGGACAGUCACCUCUUAUCUCCCCUGUAGACACUCACCUGCUGUGGGACAACAGGUGAGGACCCAAAGGAAACCUCAGCUGGGCCGAUACGUCGCCAGGAAGGAAGAAAUUCUGUCUGCUGGGAGUGUGGGAAGAGCUUCAUCUGGAGCUCAACCCUCAGUACACUCCAGAGAACCAACGCCGGGGAGAUUCCCUGUGAGUGCCUUGACUGCAGGAAGAGAUCCGUCCAGACUGGGAGCUCAUCACACACCAGUGGAUCCACGUGAGGAACCCUACAGACGUGCAGCCUGCAAGAAGAGCUUUGGCCACAGCUCGAACCUGCUGAGGUAGCAGAGUGUCUGCAGUUGGGUGAAGUCCAGGACGUGCCUGCACCAGUGUAUCUCAAGACGAGCCUCACUUGCCCUAGUGGGUCAGCAGCUUCCCGGAAAUUGAGAGGGAAUAGCACUCAGCCAAGGAGCUCUGUGGUUUUCAUGGCCAACUGAUUAUAUACGACUGUUGAAGUCACUGGGGAGAUGCUCGCACAUUCACACAGGAGCGAGCGGCAGAUGCCCAACAGCAGCUCCAUCAGCGAGUUCCUCCUCCUGGCGUUGGCAGACACGCGGCCGCUGCAGCUCCUGCACUUCUGGCUCUUGCUGGGCAUCUACCUGGCUGCCCUCCUGGGCAACGGCCUCAUCAGCACAGCCGUAGCCUGCGACCACCGCCUGCACACCCCCAUGUACUUCUUCCUCCUCAACCUCGCCCUCCUCGACCUGGGC
ensembl:lncRNA